CCUGGUGACUCAGUGGUAAAGAAUCUGCCUGCAAUGCAGGAGACCCAGGUUCAAUCCCUGGGUCAGGA
rnacentral:tRNA from 1 species